CUGACUGUUGAUGCGGGGGGACAAUGGUCCAACACUAUUCUUAAAGAUAUCCAGUUUGUUUUUCACAACAUUUGAGCAUAACAACUAAAGCACAUAAUAGAUGAUUUAGACUGUACAAAAGGAGAUUUUCUUCUUUUUCUUUUGGCAGUUCUAUGCAAAAUUAUGACUGUAAAGAGAAGUAAUUUCCUAAUUAACAAAGGAAUCACCCAAAAGCAAAGCCCCAUAGACUACAAGUAGGAAGUAUGAGACACAAAAUAAGUACCAAUGAAGAAAGAGAAAAGUUUUAAAACAUCAGCUUAUUUAAACUGCCAAAA